GACGAACGCUGGCGGCGUGCUUAACACAUGCAAGUCGAACGGAAAGGCCCUGCUUUUGUGGGGUGCUCGAGUGGCGAACGGGUGAGUAACACGUGAGUAACCUGCCCUUGACUUUGGGGUAACUUCAGGAAACUGGGGCUAAUACCGGAUAGGAGCUCCUGCUGCAUGGUGGGGGUUGGAAAGUUUCGGCGGUUGGGGAUGGACUCGCGGCUUAUCAGCUUGUUGGUGGGGUAGUGGCUUACCAAGGCUUUGACGGGUAGCCGGCCUGAGAGGGUGACCGGCCACAUUGGGACUGAGGUACGGCCCAGACUCCUACGGGAGGCAGCAGUGGGGAAUAUUGCACAAUGGGCGGAAGCCUGAUGCAGCAACGCCGCGUGCGGGAUGACGGCCUUCGGGUUGUAAACCGCUUUCGCCUGUGACGAAGCGUGAGUGACGGUAAUGGGUAAAGAAGCACCGGCUAACUACGUG
rnacentral:rRNA from 1 species